rnacentral:rRNA from 1 species
UAUGUCCUGUUUCAAGUAUAUUGCUAUUAUGGACGAUAUAUAUUGUGUUCAUAGCUAGAGUACGUAAGGAAAAAGAAAGGUUAACCGCUAUCAAA